AGUGAACGCUGGCGGUAGGCCUAACACAUGCAAGUCGAACGGCAGCACAGUAAGAGCUUGCUCUUCCGGGUGGCGAGUGGCGGACGGGUGAGGAAUACAUCGUAAUCUACUUUUUCGUGGGGGAUCACGUAGGGAAACUUACGCUAAUACCGCAUACGACCUACGGGUGAAAGCAGGGGAUCUUCGGACCUUGCGCGAUUGAAUGAGCCGAUGUCGGAUUAGCUAGUUGGCGGGGUAAAGGCCCACCAAGGCGACGAUCCGUAGCUGGUCUGAGAGGAGGAUCAGCCACACUGGAACUGAGACACGGUCCAGACUCCUACGGGAGGCAGCAGUGGGGAAUAUUGGACAAUGGGCGCAAGCCUGAUCCAGCCAUACCGCGUGUGUGAAGAAGGCCUUCGGGUUGUAAAGCCCUUUUGUGGGGAAAGAAAAGCAGCAGGUUAAUACCCCGCUGUUCUGACGGUACCCAAAGAAUAAGCACCGGCUAACUACGUG
rnacentral:rRNA from 1 species